AUUGAUACAAAUUUGAGAUUAAUUUUCUUACAACAUACUAUAUAUUUCUACUCUUGUUCAAGGUAUUGUACCUACAUAACUCAUUUAACAAUAUAGUGAAAAUUUCUAGUUCUUGAAAUUAUUACAAACUGCAUAGGAUAAUAAUACAGGGUUAGUAAUUAGUCAUCUAUUAUAUUUGAACUUACAGUCAAAUAAGGUAUGCUUUCAAAGCCAAAGAUAUAUUUUAGAUAUAGACAGGUCAUCUUCAAACACUUCAGAGAUCUACAGAAUAUGGCAUUUAAAAUGUUUUAAUAUCCUCAGUUCUUUAUGUCAGAGAGACAUGUCUGCUCCUGGCAGCACCAAUCUACUUUAGAGAAGAUAAUAGCAUCAAACAAACUCCACAUGGAGUUUACUUUCUUUGUGGCAAAAGUAAGCUAUUGGGCAAGAAAAUGCCCUUCAACUGCUGACAGUAUGCUGUCCUAACUAGACAAGCAGGACACAGAAGUGACUGCCGAACAUUGUCAAGACAAGGAGGGACAACCCUUUAGAAUAUUCUGCCUUCACAGAAAGUGUGUCAGAUAUGCUAGGCCUGUAGGCUGAAGAUGGAAGCCACAAUGUUGUAGAAGGACCUUGGGUGGCUGUCCAGGCCGACAGCUGUUUCUGUCAUUUCUCACAGUUUUUGGAAGUCGCUUGCUUGUACUUCCUGCUUAUGCAGUUAAUAUUAUUUCCUUCUCAGAUCUCUGAGGGAGUUAAGACUAUCGUUAUAGUUUACCAGAUACAGAAAGCAAGUUAUGAUAAAAAAUAAAUUAGGUAUAAGACUUUGGACCCACCAAGGUAGGUUAGAUAUGGAGUAUUUUCUCUGAAUUUAUCAAGUGCAAAUGGACUAGACAUUGUUGAUGUAUUUAUUGCCUGUAUAUAUUGAAUACAGUUAUUGUACUUUAUAUAGUUUUAUAUUAUAGUCUUCCCUUUUGUAAUAUUAGACAAAAAAGGGAAAUGUAAUGAUAUUUUAUUUGUAUUUUAAUAAAUAAAGCUUGUCUGAAGUUUGGAGAGUAAAA